rnacentral:lncRNA from 1 species
AUGAAGUCAGGCCGAAAGCCACGGCUUGAGCAAACCGUGCUGCCUGUGGCUCCAUCGUGGGGAUGUAAAAACCCGGGAGGCUGCAACCCAUGGAAGCUGUACGCAUGGGGUAGCAGACUAGUGGUUAGAGGAGACCCCUCCCAAGAUACAACGCAGCAGCGGGGCCCAACACCAGGGGAAGCUGUACCCUGGUGGUAAGGACUAGAGGUUAGAGGAGACCCCCCGCACAACAAUAAACAGCAUAUU